AGCAGCCGCCGCGGUAACACAGAGGGUGCGAGCGUUAAUCGGAUUUACUGGGCGUAAAGCGUGCGUAGGCGGCUUCUUAAGUCGGAUGUGAAAUCCCUGAGCUUAACUUAGGAAUUGCAUUCGAUACUGGGAAGCUAGAGUAUGGGAGAGGAUGGUAGAAUUCCAGGUGUAGCGGUGAAAUGCGUAGAGAUCUGGAGGAAUACCGAUGGCGAAGGCAGCCAUCUGGCCUAAUACUGACGCUGAGGUACGAAAGCAUGGGGAGCAAACAGGAUUAGAUACCCGAGUAGUCCCUGUCUCUUAUAC
rnacentral:rRNA from 1 species